rnacentral:rRNA from 1 species
GACAUAGGUCGCAAACGUUAUCCGGAAUUAUUGGGCGUAAAGGGCUCGUAGGCGGUCUGUUGCGUCGGGAGUGAAAACUUACAGCUUAACUGUGAGCGUGCUUUCGAUACGGGCAGACUUGAGGCAUUCAGGGGAGAACGGAAUUCCUGGUGUAGCGGUGAAAUGCGCAGAUAUCAGGAGGAACACCCGUGGCGAAGGCGGCUCUCUGGAACGCAACUGACGCUGAGACGCGAAAGCGUGGGGAGCAAACAGG